rnacentral:rRNA from 1 species
GAUGAACGCUGGCGGCGUGCCUAAUACAUGCAAGUCGAGCGAACGGACGAGAAGCUUGCUUCUCUGAUGUUAGCGGCGGACGGGUGAGUAACACGUGGAUAACCUACCUAUAAGACUGGGAUAACUUCGGGAAACCGGAGCUAAUACCGGAUGAUAUUUUGAACCGCAUGGUUCAAAAGUGAAAGACGGUCUUGCUGUCACUUAUAGAUGGAUCCGCGCUGCAUUAGCUAGUUGGUAAGGUAACGGCUUACCAAGGCAACGAUGCAUAGCCGACCUGAGAGGGUGAUCGGCCACACUGGAACUGAGACACGGUCCAGACUCCUGCGGGAGGCAGCAGUAGGGAAUCUUCCGCAAUGGGCGAAAGCCUGACGGAGCAACGCCGCGUGAGUGAUGAAGGUCUUCGGAUCGUAAAACUCUGUUAUUAGGGAAGAACAUAUGUGUAAGGAACUGUGCACAUCUUGACGGUACCUAAUCAGAAAGCCACGGCUAACUACGUG